GAUGAACGCUGGCGGCGUGCCUAAUACAUGCCAGUCGAGCGAACAGAUGAGGAGCUUGCUCCUCUGACGUUAGCGGCGGACGGGUGAGUAACACGUGGAUAACCUACCUAUAAGACUGGGAUAACUUCGGGAAACCGGAGCUAAUACCGGAUAAUAUAUUGAACCGCAUGGUUCAAUAGUGAAAGACGGUUUUGCUGUCACUUAUAGAUGGAUCCGCGCCGCAUUAGCUAGUUGGUAAGGUAACGGCUUACCAAGGCAACGAUGCGUAGCCGACCUGAGAGGGUGAUCGGCCACACUGGAACGGAGACACGGUCCAGACUCCUACGGGAGGCAGCAGUAGGGAAUCUUCCGCAAUGGGCGAAAGCCUGACGGAGCAACGCCGCGUGAGUGAUGAAGGUCUUCGGAUCGUAAAACUCUGUUAUUAGGGAAGAACAAAUGUGUAAGUAACUAUGCACGUCUUGACGGUACCUAAUCAGAAAGCCACGGCUAACUACGUG
rnacentral:rRNA from 1 species